rnacentral:tRNA from 1 species
UCCUCCUUAGCUCAGUUGGUAGAGCGUUCGGCUGUUAACCGAAAUGUCGCUGGUUCGAGUCCAGCAGGGGGAGCCA